rnacentral:rRNA from 1 species
GACGAACGCUGGCGGCGUGCUUAACACAUGCAAGUCGAACGGCAAGGCCCUGCUUUUGUGGGGUGCUCGAGUGGCGAACGGGGGAGUAACACGAGAGUAACCUGCCCUUGACUUUGGGAUAACUUCAGGUAACUGGGGCUAAUACCAGAUAGGAGAUCCUGCUGCAUUGUGGGGGUUGGAAAGUUUCGGCGGUCGGGGAUGAACUCGCGGCUAAUCAGCUUGUUGGUGGGGUAGUGGCCUACCAAGGCUUUGACUGAUAGCCGACCUGGGUGCGUGACCGGGCACAUGGGUCCUGCGAGAGGGACCAGUCUGCAACGUGGGGCAGCAGGGGGGAGUAUUGUACAGUCGGACCAAGUCGGUGAAAGCAGCCCUCCGGGUGUGAUGCCGUCCUUCGGGGUAUAAACCGCUUUAGCCUGAGACCAAGCUUUUCUGACGGUACCCGGUGAAGAAGCACCGGCUAACUACGUG